AAAAAGACAAACCCUGGGUUUCCGUGUCCAACUUUGAUUGUCCGUCUUAUAUGAAUUUUUUUUAUAAUUCGUAUUUUCAUUGUUGUUAGAUGAUAAAACAUGAUUAAUAUUUUAUGCGUGACUUGUCUUUUUAAUUUUUUUUCAUAAUUUUUUCAAAUAAGACGGACGGUCAAACGUUGGACACGGAAACCAGAGUUUGUCUUUUUU
rnacentral:pre_miRNA from 1 species